AACGGGUGAAGUAAAGCUAUCGGAAACGUACCCAUGUGGGGGAUUAACGUACGAAAGUUACGCUAAUUACCGAUUACGCACUGAGGUGGAAAGCGGGGGGACCUUUGGGGCCUCGCGGCAAUUGGGAGCGGGCCGAAUGUUCGGAAUUAAGCUAAGUUGGUGGAAGGUAAAAGCUCAACCAAAGGCGAACGAAUCCGUAGCCUGGUCUGAAGAAGGAUGAUCAGCCACACUGGGACUGAGACACGGCCCAGACUCCUACGGGAGGCAGCAAGUAAAGGAAUUUUGGACCAAUGGGCGAAAGCCUGAUCCAGCCAUGCCGCGUGAGUGAAGAAGGCCUUCGGGUUGUAAAGCUCUUUCAGACGGAAAGAAAUAGCCUCGGUGAAUAUCCGAGGUUGAUGACGGUACCGUAAGAAGAAGCACCGGCUAACUACGUGCCAGCAGCCGCGGUAAUACGUAGGGUGCGAGCGUUAAUCGGAAUUACUGGGCGUAAAGCGUGCGCAGGCGGUUAACUUAACGUUGUGAAUUCCCCCGGGGGUUUAAACCUGGGGAACCUGGGGUUUGGGGGACUUGGUGNUGGACUUAGAAGGUUACGGGUAAAGG
rnacentral:rRNA from 1 species